UGCAGUCGAACGGCAGCACAGUAAGAGCUUGCUCUUAUGGGUGGCGAGUGGCGGACGGGUGAGGAAUACAUCGGAAUCUACCUUUUCGUGGGGGAUAACGUAGGGAAACUUACGCUAAUACCGCAUACGACCUUCGGGUGAAAGCAGGGGACCUUCGGGCCUUGCGCGGAUAGAUGAGCCGAUGUCGGAUUAGCUAGUUGGCGGGGUAAAGGCCCACCAAGGCGACGAUCCGUAGCUGGUCUGAGAGGAUGAUCAGCCACACUGGAACUGAGACACGGUCCAGACUCCUACGGGAGGCAGCAGUGGGGAAUAUUGGACAAUGGGCGCAAGCCUGAUCCAGCCAUACCGCGUGGGUGAAGAAGGCCUUCGGGUUGUAAAGCCCUUUUGUUGGGAAAGAAAAGCAAUCGGCUAAUACCCGGUUGUUCUGACGGUACCCAAAGAAUAAGCACCGGCUAACUUCGUGCCAGCAGCCGCGGUAAUACGAAGGGUGCAAGCGUUACUCGGAAUUACUGGGCGUAAAGCGUGCGUAGGUGGUUGUUUAAGUCUGUUGUGAAAGCCCUGGGCUCAACCUGGGAAUUGCAGUGGAUACUGGGCGACUAGAGUGUGGUAGAGGGUAGUGGAAUUCCCGGUGUAGCAGUGAAAUGCGUAGAGAUCGGGAGGAACAUCCAUGGCGAAGGCAGCUACCUGGACCAACACUGACACUGAGGCACGAAAGCGUGG
rnacentral:rRNA from 1 species